CCCGGCGGCCGGCCGGCCUCGGGGCUGUUUUUGUCCGCUUUCCGGGGGUCGUGAGGGGCCGGUGGCCCGCGGCAACAGUGGCUUCAGUUACCACAGGACAACACAAGAUAUACAGCCCAUGGCAUAUCCAGUAACCAGGAAAACAAGCAUUCUCACGACCCAGCCGAACUCCUUCUAACCAUCAACCUGAAAUUCCAGCUUUAUCAAGACUCAUAAAGUAAUUGUGCAUGCUUCUUGCUCAAUCCCUACCAGGAAACCUGUAUCUACCAGGAGUUGCUUCCAGACAGAACUAUUUCUCCACCACUGAAAUGCAUAUAGAUUUUGAAAAAAUUUCCAGACAUAACCUUUCUUAAGUGUUUGGUUUCAGGAGUCCUGGUAGAGUAUAUAAAAAUGAUGACAUUCUUUGCUAUAUAUUUGAAAAAAUUUUUUAAACUUCUGAAAAACUGAUUGUAUUCUUUUUGUUCUGAUGAAAAGAUGUAAAUUCAGAAGAAAACAAUAAGAAGAUGAAAUAAACUCAGGAUGAGGAAAAUAAUCUAAAAAUAGUUAUUAAAAUUGAAAUUUCCUCCUAUGAAAAUUUGGAUUUCUGAUACUUAAAAAUAUAUGUCUACAUUAUGAAUACAACCAGUAAAAAAAUCAUGUGUUAUAAAGACAAGAACUAGCAGAGAUCACAGGAAAAUAAAAGGUUUGGUUUGCUGAAGUGA
rnacentral:lncRNA from 1 species